rnacentral:ncRNA from 1 species
CCGUUCUCAACGGGGUGCUAAUAAACAUACGCCGCUUCAUUCAGGUUGCAUCGUGACAGCCUGCAGGAUGCAGCGUAUGGGCUGAGAAAAUACCCGUCGAACCUGAUCCGGAUAACGCCGGCGAAGGGAUUUGAGGCUCACUCAAAA